AUAUAGAUAAAGAGGGAACCGCCCCCUGCCACGUUGGAUGGUCGUCCGCCCAUGUGGCAACUGGAGAUUGGCUGGAGGUGAUAUGCCACUUGGUUGUCCUCCCUCUUGUAUUUGUUUGAGGGCUUUUCUUCUUUCCUCCGAUAAACCAAACGACGACGUCGUCUGUUCCUUCUUCUUCUUUUUUUUUUUUUUUCUGUCUUUCAAAACGUAGCAGCAUCAAUCAAUGUCAAGAGGUCUUGAAGACUGGUUCCUAUACAGAACUCCAUUUUGUCCUCUAGACAAAACUCCAUUUUUUCCAUGAGACCCAGAAGUCUCUCCUCAAUUUCCGGCAUUUGAUUGUACUUGGGAGAGAUUGUAAUCUCGAUUGGAGGGUCCAGAUUUAUUUCUUCUUCUGAUGAGUGGGUGCUUAGAAUUUGAUGGACGAUGGGCUCGAGAUAGAAAAUGGAAGUUCUGUCUAUCUGCCCCUAAUUUGAUAUUUGACCCCAGGAAUGUGCAUGGCGCUUCAAGCAUUUUUAUCUCCUGAAUCAUAGGGCUACCUAAAUGUUUUGACCGGAUAUGAGGAUGGUUCCAUGGCCUGGUGGGAUGUAAGGAAUCCAGGGGUUCCAAUGAAUUCUGUUAAGUUUCAUAAAGAACCAGUUUUGAGCCUUUGUAUUGAUGGGGCAUGCAGUGGUGGUAUCUCUGGAGCUGCUGAUGAAAAACUUGUGUUUUUCUAUUUGGAUUAUCAAUUGGGAUCAGCACUGGUCAAGAAAGAAAUUACAUUGGAGCGACCUGGAAUAGCAGGAACAUCAAUCCGGCCAGAUGGCAAAAUUGUUGCAUUUGCUCGCUAGGAUCACCGGUUAGUCACUCUUGGACUUUUUUGUGAGCCGCCCUGUUCAGAAAAAUCAUCUUUGUUUUUUUCAUAUGGUAGCUCAUUAGUAAUUCAUGUAAUUUUUGUGAAUAUUAAAUAGGAGCAACCCUGAAACAAAAUUUAAGACCAAUUUUUAAGAUAAGUAUUUUUUAUUGUCUUUCACUUUGAUUGACCACAUUGAUUGACACAGUUGGCUUCAGGUUUGUCUUCAUUUUUUUCUGGUAUUUUUUGUGAUUUUUCCUUGGGCUGACAUUGGCAAGAAAAGUAGCUAUGCGAAAGAAGAAGAAUGAACAGCAGUUGAUGGCAGGUUUUUUUUUUUUACUAUUUGCUAUUUUUUCUUGCAUAGAUGUUUGUUGCUGUCGUGGCUCAUGAAUGGCAUUGUUUUGGGUUUUCUGAGUUUUUUAGAAUUAUAGAAAUAAAGCACUUUUCAUCUUUGUUUGUACAAUCUCUGUUUCUUAGGUCUCAAAAGUGUUUUUUUUUUUUUUGCUUUUCUCUGUUUUAUCUUCUGCUGCAAUUUUUUUUGUUGAAUAUGUGGUGAACUGUGAUAGAAAUAAAGCAUUUAGAAUUAUAGAAAUAAUGCUCUUUUUAUGCAGCGAAAGCGAACUGUGAUAGUUUGACAAAUGGAAAGAAUGAAAUGAGGCUCUUUUCUCAGUAUUUUUACUUUGUUUUGGUUUAGCUCACCUGUUUUAAAAUUGAUUAUUUUGCACCUUUCGGUAUAUUAUCAGAUGUAAGUCAUCCUUCAGAAAGACAAGGAUUGGUGGCUUCAUGUUAUCUUAGUGUUUUUGUCACAUUUUUAGAAAAGCUUUUUUUUUAAAAAUGAUUCUACUAUAUCUGCUACUUGGUUAGGGAUGAUGUGUAAUUAUCAUAUCAAAUUGUUUGGAAAGUUUGUUAUGUUGUUAUAGGGAGUACAAAAACUUUACAAAAAUUCUAAUUUAUUCUUUGUAAUUUUUCCCCUUCUGAUUUCUUGUGUAUUAGUGGAAAUCUUAUGUGAUUCUAUGUGUCCUUUCAUGCGGUGCAUUGCGUUGUUGUCCACUUGCUUGGGGUGGUUCGAAAUUCUCUCAUGUGUUCACCUAUGGUGCAACAAAGGUAACUUUAAUUGUAAGGCUCUUUAAUUCUUUCAUCAUUAAAGGUAUGUAGCUUGUUAACAUAUAGCUAAGCUACUGCAUCAGGGUUUGUAGGACUCAUUAAUCCUUUCAUCGUUAAAGCUACUCUCUCUAUGUAUACUCUGAAUUUGUUCUCAUUCUGCUUCUUUCUUAUUUCUGUUUAAUGGAAAACAGGCAUAGCAUGGAUCACAGCUUGUGUUGAAAUGAGUUUUAAGAAUGACAGAGAUUUUUAUUUGGCCUGUCCAAACUGUGAACGGCCUAAUAAUUUUCAAUACACAUAGGAAGUUUUAUGCAGAUAUUGUCACUCUGUUGUUCACCUUUUACCUAGGCAAAUAAAUGGCAGCAGCCACAAGAAUGAUCGAGAGAAUGCUGCAAAUAGGAUUGGCAGAUAUCGAUACAGCUUAGCCUAUUCCUCUUUGAGUAGUUAUUGGAGCCUUGAAAGCUGAUUUUGUUCCAAUCUUGACACUAAGUUCUUUCGUUCUUUUUAUAAUUUUAUCAAAUUGGAUUAUGUACUUUGAAUGUAAUUUAUAUUCUAUAAUGUGCUUCCUAAUUCAUGGUAUUUAAUAAACAUUUGGGAAGACCAUUUUAACUCCUGUAUUAAUUAUUAUUUUGACCUAAAACCAAGUUCUUGACA